CAGCUGCUCAGCUUUUCAGUCUGGGUCUGAGCUGAAACCUGCUGCAAGUCUUUGACGGUACCAAAUUACAUAUAUAUCUGUCAAAAUGAUGUAGGACCUAAAGUCUCUCUGUAAGUUGAUCCUCUUGACCCCAUGAUUAGGAGCUUCACAAUGUGAUACCACACCUGGAAACCUCCAGAACAAGAUCUCAAGGAAACACAGGAAAUUCCUGAAACAGCAAAACCCCCUAUGUGAAGACGCCUGUUAUUCCUUUGUGCAUCAGGAGCAUCACUGUUAAUUAACUGUUGAUACACUUAAAAGAGCUUGGUUGGCAAUGUCCUUUUUGAAAAAAGAAGAGCCAGGUAUGUUAUUCAGGAUGAACUAGACAAUGCUGUCACAAGUUUACCUCUACGUCUUAUUGCCUUGGAAAAAUUUCCUGCAUAUUGUGGCACAAGAUGGUUGGCUCUCCAGGCAGCAGUUGGCAUUGUGAAUCAGUCUUCUCAGCAUGUAUCUCCAAGAUCCCACAGCAGGGGAAAAAAGAGGUGGAAGGUCACAUGCCUGGUGUUACAUGCUUUGAGGCAGAGGUGGUAGGUGCCAUUUCUGCUCACAGCUCAUGGACCAGAACAAAGCCAUGCAUACCUGCGAGAGGACCAGAAAAUAUUCUGAAGUACAUGGCUAUUUGGUAUAAAAAUGGGCUACCAAGUAACUAUGUGACCUGAGCUACUCACCAUGAACUGGGUGUUAUCUGACCACCAACCCAUCAAGUUGCUGUGUGAAAUAACACUCCAUCAUCAAAUAGAAGUGGUAUAUUUGUGAUCUGGCCCUAGCAGCUGUGAAGGCACAAGUCAGUUACAUGAAGAAGUGGCCCAAAUGCUCCUGGUCUCCGCUUCUGCUACCCUGGCUUCUCUCUCCCAGCCUACACCUGUGGUCUCAUGGAGUUCCCGAUGAUCACUUGACAGAAGAAGAGAAGACUAGGGCCUGGUUAACAGAUGUUCUGCGUAAUACUCAGGCACUACCCUAAAGGGGACAGCUGCAGCAAAAAUAGAACAAAAAGGCUUAGAAAGGGCACAUUUGCUCACUGAGCUGGGACAUGUAUUGUCUCCUGCCCUUGGACAUCAGCACUCCUGGUUCUCAGGCCUUUGGACUUUGACGAAGAUUUCCAUCAUGGCUUCUCCUGGUUCUCAGGCCUUUUGACCGAAACGUCUUACACCACUGGCUUUCCUGCUUCUCCAGCUGGCAGAUCGUGGGGCUUCUUGGCCUCCAUAAUCACGUGAGCAAAUUCCCGUAAUAAACCUCUCUGUAUUUGUUUGUGUGUUUGUGUUUGUGUUUUUGUAUUAUGUUGGCUCUGUUUCUCUAGAUGAUCCUGAUUAAUUCAGAUGGAGGAAAUCAUAUCAUCUUAUCUGACAGUCAAUAGUGUAUCUCUCUUUUGACCUUGACUUCUUUUGUCUGUAUUAAAAACUUUUAUUGUAUUUGAUA